rnacentral:rRNA from 1 species
CUCUGUGACUCUACGGGGAGGCAGCAGUGGGGAAUAUUGCACAAUGGGCGCAAGCCUGAUGCAGCCAUGCCGCGUGUAUGAAGAAGGCUUCGGGUUGUAAAGUACUUUCAGCAGUGAGGAAGGUGGUGCAGUUAUAGCUGUAUCAUUUGACGUUAGCUGCAGAAGAAGCACCGGCUAACUCCGUGCCAGCAGCCGCGGUAAUACGGAGGGUGCGAGCGUUAAUCGGAAUUACUGGGCGUAAAGCGCAUGCAGGUGGUUUGUUAAGUCAGAUGUGAAAGCCCGGGGCGUCAAACCUCGGAAAUUGCAUUUGUAAACUAGGCAGACUAGAGUACUGUAGAGGGGGGUAGGAAUUUCAGGUGUAGCGGUGAAAUAGCGUAGAGAUCUGAAGGAAUACCGGUGGCGAAGGCGGCCCCCUGGACAGAUACUGACACUCAGAUGCGAAAGCGUGGGGAGCAAACAGGAUUAGAUACCCUGGUAG